rnacentral:rRNA from 1 species
AUUGAACGCUGGCGGCAGGCCUAACACAUGCAAGUCGAGCGGGGUUUUCGGACCUAGCGGCGGACGGGUGAGUAAUGCGUAGGAAGCUACCCGAUAGAGGGGGAUACCAGUUGGAAACGACUGUUAAUACCGCAUAAUGUCUACGGACCAAAGUGUGGGACCUUAGGGCCACAUGCCAUCGGAUGUGCCCAAGUGGGAUUAGAUGGUUGUGGAGGUAAUGGCUCACCAAGGCGACGAUCCCUGGCUGGUUGGAGAGGAUGAUCAGCCACACUGGAACUGAGACACGGUCCAGACUCCUACGGGAGGCAGCAGUGGGGAAUAUUGGACAAUGGGCGCAAGCCUGAUCCAGCCAUGCCGCGUGUGUGAAGAAGGCCUUCGGGUUGUAAAGCACUUUCAGUAAGGAGGAAGCGUUGAGUGUUAAUAGUACUCAGCGUUGACGUUACUUACAGAAGAAGCACCGGCUAACUCUGUGCCAGCCGCCGCGGUAAAAC